GUGCUUGCUUUGGCAGCACAGAUACUAAAAUUGGAACUAUAAAGAGAACAUUAGCAUAACCCCUGUGCAAGAAUGAUAUGCAGAUCUGUGAAGUGUUCCAUAUUUUG